AUAGGUCUGUCAAACUCCCUGCUGUUGGCUGAUUGCCCAGAAGCAGCUGACCUUGUCAUUGUGCACAUCCAAUGUAGUCUUUGCGGUUGUGUACACACACGUACAUGUCCACAGACCUCAUGCAUUUCUUGCAAAUCGUCUGACUUCCUUUCAGAUGUUAUAACAAAUAUAUGGACAAAAGGUAUAACAAAUGUAAAUAUAAGGGGAAUCUGUAAGAGACUAUUUAGCGACAUCCAGUCCGUUUCUGCUAUACUGUCUCGUAGCGUUCCAUUAUUGUGAUUAUAAAGACAUUAAUGUUAAGUAUUUCGCAAGAGCUCAUAUCAUCUGUGCAGAAUUGACCAUAAACCAACAAUGGGUCUCAUAUCUACUUGUAGCAUCCUGACAUUGUGGGUAGGUGUCUUUGGAAGGGCUAGUAUAAGUACUGUGUCAGGGCUUAGCUGGUGUCACCUGGGGGACAAUAUAAGAUACUGUAGGAAUGUUCUCCAUAAGUUAUUAUAGUCAUUUAGUGGUUCAUUCAUUUAAAAGGUACAUCUCUCCAGGUACAUCUCAAACAGACUGUGGAUUUCUUAUGCUCCUCACGAACUAAUGAUUCCAAGAGAGCACAGAAAUUCUACUUUGCGGAGAUAAGGACUGAGAUCUCCAUUCAACAACAAACAGCAAGUAAAACCGGGAUUAAAUCCGAGCUAAAUGGCAGCUCUGCUUUUUGGUUUGCUAAAAAGCUGAAGGACGUGGCUGGAGAAAUGUAAUAAGUGGGUAACAUUCAUUGAAAUUACCAUUGAACAGCUGUACAUAUUGCAGAUUUCACCUUUAAAAAAUGAUUUACACUUUCUUUAGAAAUAUAUGAAAUGUACCAUACCAGUCGUAUGAACACCCAUCCACCAACCACCACAUGCUAGCAAUGCUAAUUUACAUUGAGUUAUAAAAAGACUGACAUUGUUAGGGCCACGCAACAUGACACCAGCGACCAUCGCACCACUUUGUAAAGAUGAGCGUGUCAGGUGGGACUUGGACAGUCAAAACUGGGGAUGAUGAGACUACACUGCUAUUCUUAGCUCUUUUGUUCAGUGUUGAGAGAAGAAGAGUUGUGACCCUACUAUCACCUCCACUACCACCCUAUACUCAGGCCACGAACUCCAGACUUCCAGCCAGCAAAGUAGUUCUCAUUAUUACGAGAUGUGGAAGAUCAAACGUAAGUGGCGCCACCAUUUUGUGGCAUGCAUGCAUGCUCUUUCACAUUCAGUCAAAACGAAAGUAACAAAAUGACUGCAUAUGGCAAGUUGUUUUUCCCUACACACACAGGCUACAGUUCAGCAUGGCUGAGAGACAUUUCCAGCCAGGCAACUAAUAGAACUUGGUAGAACUCACACCUUAAAUUCCUUUGCUUUACGAUUUUGAUUAGAGAUUAACCAUAUAAAAUGCCACUGUACUGCAUUCCUGAUGUAAAACUUCUCUUACAGCCCCCAUCACGUACGCUUUGGAAGCAAAGUACAGGCCCUAUCUUGAGGUAAUAGUUUUGCGAACCAUUUUGAUCCAAUCUAAUUCACUGCAUAGCAGGGAUUGAUGUUCUAUAUUCCUACUAUGCAGGGUAACUAAGGACUAAGCUAUGUGGACGGAAGCUAUCGCAGCCUUGAAAUGUUUUCAAAUAUCUGGUCGAACAACAAGGCCAGCGUUGUGUUCAUUAGGCACCGAAUGGAACACAAUGGACUGAAACAGGGAGGGAUUUCCUGGCCUUGCCCCCCCCCCUCCCCCAAAAAUGCUCGUUAGGUACGGAAUGGAACACAAUGGACUGAAACAGGGAUGGAUUUCCUGGCCUUGCCCCCCCCCCCCCUUGUGCCCUCUCGAAACCGACCAAGGGUCAGCGUCAAUUCCGUUUGGAGUCCAUUUAAAAUAUGAACUGAAUUAGAAUUGAAUUCAUGAACUGAAAAUCCACCAGGAAAAUCCCAAGAUACUGUAUGUUGUCAUUAUAAAACACAUAUUUAAAAAAUAGAGGACUUUAUAUCUGUGCCAUUAGCAGCAUGGGCAGCGCCAGAGGCAACAACCCAUAGGAAUCCCCACCCAGAUGACUACUUUCAAUACUUUAAAAUGGCGCUGCCCAUACCACUAUGGUGGAGAGUUAAAGGCGUCCGCAUACUUCCCAGCCAAAACAGUUCAGAAGUUUGUGCAUAUAUUAUGAUGACAUUUUGUGACGUUUAUGUUCGUUUUGGACUUCGGUGAGUGUUUUUCGGCUGUUCGGGCACACAAAAUGUUUUCUCGAGGCAAGCCGAAGUCCAAAAUGAACAUAAACAUCACAAAAUGUCAUCAUAAUAUACAGAAGCUCUUCUGAACUUUUUCAGCUGGGAAGCAUGCAGACGCCUUUACAGUGCCUUCAGAAAGUGUUCAUACCCCUUAACUUACUCCACAUUUGGAAUAUGGGAAAAAAAUCCUACCUUGCCUAUCACAAGCAAGCUGAAGCUAUUACCAUAUCAAAUCUUCCCAGAGAAACACACAUGCCAAGAGGUCAAUUUGGAAAUACACUUCAUGACCGAAAGUAUGGACACCUGCUCGUCGAAUAUCUCAUUCCAAAAUCGUGGAAAUAAAUAUGGAGAUACUCCCCGCUUUGCUGCUAUAACAGCCUCCACACGUCUGGGAAGGCUUUCCACUAGAUGUUGGAACAUUGCUGUGGGGACUUGCUUCCAUUCAGCCACAAGAGCAUUAGUGAGGUCGGACACUAAUGUUGGGUGAUUAGGCCUGGCUCGCAGUCGGCGUUCCAUUUCAUCCCAAAGGUGUUCGAUGGUAUUGAGGUAAGGGCUCUGUCCAGGCCAGCCAAGUUCUUCCACACCGAUCUCGACAAACCAUUUCUGUAUGGACCUCACUUUGUGCACAGGGGCAUUGUCAUGCUGAAACAGGAAAGGGCUUUCCCCAAACUGUUGUGUUGGGGUAGGUUCCUUGUUCCUUGUCAAUCAUUUGCUUAUUGGUGAAAUCAGCAAUCAGACAAUAUUUUAAGCAAAUCAAUCAAAAACCUUUAUUAAUGCAAUUGAGGACAGAAGUUGACAACGGGAACAUAGCCCGCAUGUUUCUGAGUAGGUUCUGCAAAAUAGGAAAGGGUCCAAGUUGCUUUAAUAUGCUUGCAGUCAACCCCUAGUGAUGUAACUGCCUACGUAAACACCUUCUACUCAUGAGACCAAGCCCAUGCAUAUACAGUUAUACAAACUUGCAGGAGAGAACAAUAGUUCCAGUGUUUUCUAAGGGCUCAGCAGUAACUUUUCACUCCCCAAGUUGCUUUAUAGUGGUAUGUCUGACUUGUCUCUUAUCUCUUUCACUCCACUGCAGGGUUCUGUGUCUAUGAAUCUCUUUUAGCCUUGAGGCGCUUUCUCACAGACACCCUGUUUUGACUGCAAUAACUCACACAUCUCUCAGGCCGUUUCUGAUAAGAAGCAGAGACUAGAAAAGAACUGUGGAACAAUAUUAAACCUUAUAAUGUAUAUAUAUAUUGCUACUCUUUAGUCCAGGACCCUAUAUAUGUAAUGGGGGUGGGGUCUUAUAGCCCUUCCCCUUCUAUUAAUACAACAUAAGCAUAAUCAAUUAGUAUAAUACAUCAAUCAUUUGGUGCAGCCCCUAUCAUGACCCCAAGGUGAACCCCAUCAUUCCCCUCUUUGAGGCUAAUUAGUCUCACAGCUUCAAUCUUAAUAUUCUCCUCUGAAAUCAAACAGAUUAGGCAAAUCCCCCGGAUCCGUUUGAUCCCAGGGAUGGCCUGCUAAAGGGAGAAACAACUCCUGAGGUUCCUGGAAUGCUGGUGGGGUGGGGUGAGUCUGUCUAUACUCCCAUUGCGCCUGAGUCCUGGGAAGAACCAUACGAGUUGGAUAGACAAUGGGAUUAAGAGAAACCAGAAAUGCACCAGUCUCACCUUCAGCACGAUUUGUAUCAGCUUCCACCAACACCAUCACUCCAGCAUGUUCAAGAGCAGUGAGUCAUUUUCUUACAAAUAUAAACAGUAGCCAAAAUCACCAAACCUCCCACAAGUAUAGGAGUAAACAAUGAAAACAAGAUUAACAUUACUUUCCCCAGAACAUUUCCAAAUUUAGCAUUAAACCAGACACCAAUUUUGUCAGCCAAUCGGCAAAUAGUAGAGAUCAUGGUUGAUGGUAAACAGGGCAUGCCAGACAAAAGAUGUAGCCAUAAGCCAGACCUAUUAGUAAACCCUAUUGCUCUCCAAACCCCACACCAUGACAAACAAACCCCAAUAGCAUAUGCUGAGUCUGAGUAGACAGUAAGGGCCUUCCCUUCCCCCAAUUCACAAGCUGUGUUCAGAGCUAAUAAAUCUGCCUGUUGCGCUGAUAAAUGUUCUGGUAGGGGCUGUAUAACCUCAAUAUCACCUUCCACAUCUACUACAGCAAAUCCUACAUGUUUCUUCCCUGUGCUUUGAUCUAUAUAAGCAGAACCAUCAACGAACAGCACCAUGUCAAAGUCAAGGAGAGGUUCAUCAAACAAGUCUAUGUCCAGUACGCAUUCCUGGGCUGUCCCGAUGCAACUGUUAUUGUCAUUAACUUGUCCUCCUUGUUCAUAGGCAUAGGUGGCCCCAGGGGAGCAUUUUAAGCUCCGGGCGAGUGGUACGGUGGCUGAGGAGCAUAUUGUUUCCAUGGUACACUCCAGGAUGUGUAUUAGCAAAGUUCUCUCUUCCUCUGCCAGGCCCAACAUUUCCUCUGCCCCUGAUGUAACCUCUUCCUCUUUCAUUUUCCCCACACUGCGAACUCACAUGCCCCAACUGCCCACAGGUCCAGCAUUGAGUGUUGUUCCAGUCACAAGGGGGUGUUCUGGCGGGCCCACCUCCUUUUCCAGUCCAUGUUUGUGGGUCAUCAUAAUGCUGAGUGGUGAAAAGCACAUAACCUGCAGGCACUGGGUUCACGGCUGUGACUGAUGUGACUGAUGUGACUGUGGGGGAGCUGCAGGCUGUGGUUGUGGGGAGCCUGUAGAAACAACUUGAGCAGCCAUCAUAUUACCCCAUGUCCCUGUUCAACCUGAAGAGAGGUUCCCCCGAUAAGGAGUUCCCUACCCUAAAAUACAACUACACAUGUAUGGCGAGAAUCCUGACUCCAGAACUGUAUGCUCACCAGUUCAACCGCGCCACCCAGAGCGGGGUCAUCUUUGAUGAUGUCAUACGUCCGGCCCUCGAGGAACCAGGUGACGUCAACAGGCAUUAUGCGAUCUAUAGGGAACUCAUGUUUCUAGAUCAUUAUGCGCUGAAAACAAUGGAGCCAGGCUCAGUUACAUCAUAAAAGCCAGGCAAUAACGAUAGCCAGCCAUUUAACAGAAUACUAAAACAAUGUCCUAACACCUAGCUAAUCCAAAACAACUGCUGCUGCUUAUGCAUCACAACGUGUGACUCUAGUGUGUGUUUCUCUGUGUGAGUGUGUACUUACCAAAUGUGUGUAUACUGUUCCUGUACUGUCCUACAGGGGAGCUUCAUGGACCCAUGUCUGUGGGUUGUGUAGCUGGCGACGGCCAGUCUUACAUCCUCUUCUGUGACUUCUUUGAUCGGGUCAUGGUACUGCAGUGUGGCCUUAUAAGUGUAUCUCCAUUUCACAUAAUUAAAAAAAACGUUUUAUUAUAAGGUUUCUUCAUAAUCCCAACUACGAAGUUUCAUGCUUUUAUGAAAAAGUUAGCAUUUGUCAUAUAUCGCUUGGGCUAUUCACACAAUUUCAGUGUGCCACACUUCAUAACAGACUUCUACCAAAGAUGUGUGAUGUGGCAUGUCAUAAAAUCUGUUGUUAGAUGUUAGGUCAAGAUCUCAGUAAUGUUUAUGACAACUAUGUAGGGCAUUGUGGCAUAACAUUCCAAUAGUGUUAGCCAGUACAUCCGUAGCAGAUUUGUAAAUACUUCAAUGUGUUUAAAGGCAUUUUUUGCUCUCUCUCUGUGUUUGUGUCAAAUACGUACUGUGUGUGUAUGUCUGGCUAAUUAAUGUAUUGUGUGUGUGUGUGUGUGUGUGUGUGUGUGAGAUGACUUCGGCUUCACUACACACUGCAGCCGGGGAGAACGUAGACAAUUCCUCAUGCUGGCCAAGAAAGGUACUGCAUGCUCUGAUCUACAGUAACAAUAUUGCACAAAUAGUACAUACAGUUCAGGUUUGGUGUCAAUUCCAAUUUAAUUUGAAAUUCCAAUUCAAUUAUUGAAUUCAAUCAUGAAGUGGAUAAUUUACUUUGAAUUAAAUUCAACAUUUUUAAAUCUUCAAAUUAUGCAAUUGGAUUUAGACGACUUUUUUUGGAACUUUUUUAGAAUUAAAUUGGAAUUGUAAAAACAUCUUUGGAAUUGAAAUUCAAUAUUCCUACAUUUCCCAGUUAAUAGAAUUAAUGCACAGAGUAUCAAAAUUGUACUGUAGGAUUUGCUUUUAACAAUUUCAACCUCUACUCCAAUAUUUACAGCAUAACAAGGCUGUCUGAACAGUGACAUGAUCAGCCUGAGGGAAUUGAAUUAGAAUUGUUGGCGAUAAUAUUGAUAUUAAAUUAUUGGAAUUGACCUAAAAUUGGAAUUCAGGGGAAUUGAAUUUUCUCUGAAUUCAAAGACUGACCUGGAAUUUGAAUUUAAUUAAAUGGAAUGUACAGGAAGCGAGAACUGAAUUAAAAUGUAAUUUGUGGAAUUGACACCCACCCUGGUACAGUGUGAUACUUUAUCCUCACCUGCAAUCAAAACAAAAUGUAAUUGAGCACAUUAACGCCAUCAGUUUAAUUGAUAUAUGUUUUAGGCUUUUAGUUUACAUUUUCAGAACAAGAAUAUCUGGGCUGCUAUCAAUUAACAAUCGUGAGGACACCAAGCAAAAGCAAUCAAUGCCCAUCCAUGCUCCUUCUCACACAGUAGUUUGAAGUAACAUUGUAAUGGUACGUGGUGUCAGAAAGAGGACACACUAAUUCAGUGGUGCACAACUCAGGGCCGAGUUCCACAACUCGGCUGGUUUUCAUUUCACCCAGUUGACGUUACUGAAUGGCCCAAAUAGAAACCAGUCCCUAGCUAAAAGGCAAGGACAAAAAUCUGCAGAACUGCUGUCAUCGAAGAAUGUAUCUGAGCAUCCCUGCACUAACCAACCAGACCUAUAGCAAACAUGAUUGGUUGACACUUCUCCGUCCAGCUCUGGACCAAUUGGCAGAGGAGUUGCCAGGGACGCUGUACUCAAGGGCCGAACUGUCACAUGACAAAAAAGACAAGGGAGUGACCGUGGGAGCCCCUUCCCUUUCCCAACGGGUGGCCCGUGACUGGCCUGACUCCAGAGCUGUCCUUUAAGUGCCACUGGCAUGUUCCCUUCUUUACAACCUAAACAAUUUGUUGUGUGUGUUGUGUUUGCCUUUUUAUGCAGAAAGAUUAUUUGUGCAAUGAAAAAUACCAAAAUAUAAUUUAUCAUUAUGUUCCACACGUUAGUGUGGUAAUAACAACUGCUCUAGGGUCUGUUUUGCCUUUCAGUCCACAUUAGUUGUAAACUGUAUGGAGAGGUAAAAAAAACUGCUCUACGGCCUGUUUUGCCUAACACAUAGUUCGUUACUAACCUAGUGGAGAAGUGAAGCAGUGCACUCUUCUUGUAAGUAUAGGAGUAAAUCCUCAUGAAUAUCUGUUUUAAAUAAACCCUGUAGUAUUCAAAUCAUGAUAACGAAAAACCAAAAAUACCAUGGUGUCAACAAACCCAGCUGAUUCUGUAGCUCGACCCAGGUACUGUAGUUAAUCAAUAUUACAAACAUUUUACAAAACAGUACAACCAAAAGUUAGAUGGUGCCUUUACACUAUGGUCCUUCUAGACAGAUUAAAGCUAUAUUUUCAGCAAAACAGCAGCACGCCACUUGUUUUAUUAUACGGCUGAGGGACGAGGCUAUAUGUAACUACUCUCACAUUCAUAGACAGCGCUCUAGAUGAACUUUGAUACUGUUGUGACCAUUACCACUCUGCAGGGUUAGUAAAGACGGGGACCCUGGUGGUAUGGGUAAACAUUGACGACCACCUCAGAUUGGUGACCACGCGAGAUGACGCCUACCUCGCAGAGGCCUUCCAAUGUAUCUGUGUCAACAUCCUUAAGGUUGGUACCCUCGGAAGGCACAGAUCCUGACCGCAUGAUUACCUUAAAGUCCAACUGACAGCCUUUUAGCAACAUUAAAUCGUAUUACAAUCAGAGGACGAAUAUGACACUUUUUUUUAUAGACAUGUGUAACUGUUAGGGUUUGACCAACUAUUUGUUUGCAUAACCUAUAUAAUAUAACAAAGAAGCAAUGCUAUAAUAUUAAGUUUAUACUCUAUAUGAUAAGAGAGGAAGGGGCUCAUGGGAUGUUGAGUCAUAUGGAAAGAAUGCAGAUGCUGUAAAUCAGGGAUAUGGAAGAACUUGUUAAAAGAUAAGGGCAGGAUAUGGGUGAAAUGUAUAUGCAGAGGGGUGUCGGGGUUUUAGAGAACUGUGCAUUGUGCAGUCACAAGAUAAAUCGACUGCCAAAGAUAAUAACUACGCCCGGCAACAGGAGGCGUCUCGAGGUUGGGACCAACCUGCACGCCAACGAUAGGAUGAGUAAGUUUAAACCACGCUCAUCCUCCCUCUGACAGGCCAGCAGUGAGUGGGAACUCUCUCUGUCAGAGUAUUUAAUGAGAAGCAAAGGAUGUGUAACUCAGUUCUCUGUCUGCCCUGCGUGGUGACACAGCGAGCCCGUAUAUACAAACAUCAUAUUUACCAUAAAUGUGUUUGCAUUAAUUAAAGUACAAAGAAAUCAGAAGUUA